rnacentral:rRNA from 1 species
AUGGCCCCCAAGGCGGAGAAGAAGCCGGCGGCGAAGAAGCCCGCGGAGGAGGAGCCCGCGACGGAGAAGGCGGCCGAGAAGGCCCCGGCGGCGAAGAAGCCCAAGGCGGAGAAGCGGCUGCCGGCGGGCAAGACGGCGUCCAAGGAGGCCGGCGGCGAGGCGAAGACGAGGGGCCGAAAGAAGGGCAGCAAGGCGAAGAAGAGCGUGGAGACCUACAAGAUCUACAUCUUCAAGGUGCUGAAGCAGGUGCACCCCGACAUUGGCAUCUCCUCCAAGGCCAUGUCCAUCAUGAACUCCUUCAUCAACGACAUCUUCGAGAAGCUCGCCGCCGAGGCCGCCAAGCUCGCCCGCUACAACAAGAAGCCCACCAUCACCUCCCGGGAGAUCCAGACCUCCGUCCGCCUCGUCCUCCCCGGGGAGCUCGCCAAGCACGCCGUCUCUGAGGGCACCAAGGCCGUCACCAAGUUCACCUCCUCCUAG